CUUAACACAUGCAAGUCGAGGGGCAGCAUUUUAGUUUGCUUGCAAACUGAAGAUGGCGACCGGCGCACGGGUGAGUAACACGUAUCCAACCUGCCGAUAACUCCGGGAUAGCCUUUCGAAAGAAAGAUUAAUACCGGAUAGCAUACGAAUAUCGCAUGAUAUUUUUAUUAAAGAAUUUCGGUUAUCGAUGGGGAUGCGUUCCAUUAGUUUGUUGGCGGGGUAACGGCCCACCAAGACUACGAUGGAUAGGGGUUCUGAGAGGAAGGUCCCCCACAUUGGAACUGAGACACGGUCCAAACUCCUACGGGAGGCAGCAGUGAGGAAUAUUGGUCAAUGGGCGCGAGCCUGAACCAGCCAAGUAGCGUGAAGGAUGAAGGCUCUAUGGGUCGUAAACUUCUUUUAUAUGGGAAUAAAGUUUUCCACGUGUGGAAUUUUGUAUGUACCAUAUGAAUAAGGAUCGGCUAACUCCGUGCCAGCAGCCGCGGUAAUACGGAGGAUCCGAGCGUUAUCCGGAUUUAUUGGGUUUAAAGGGAGCGUAGGUGGAUUGUUAAGUCAGUUGUGAAAGUUUGCGGCUCAACCGUAAAAUUGCAGUUGAAACUGGCAGUCUUGAGUACAGUAGAGGUGGGCGGAAUUCGUGGUGUAGCGGUGGAAUGCUUAGAUAUCACGAAGAACUCCGAUUGCGAAGGCAGCUCACUAGACUGUCACUGACACUGAUGCUCGAAAGUGUGGGUAUCAAACAGGAUUAGAUACCCUGGUAGUCCACACAGUAAACGAUGAAUACUCGCUGUUUGCGAUAUACAGUAAGCGGCCAAGCGAAAGCAUUAAGUAUUCCACCUGGGGAGUACGCCGGCAACGGUGAAACUCAAAGGAAUUGACGGGGGCCCGCACAAGCGGAGGAACAUGUGGUUUAAUUCGAUGAUACGCGAGGAACCUUACCCGGGCUUAAAUUGCAACAGAAUAUAUUGGAAACAGUAUAGCCGUAAGGCUGUUGUGAAGGUGCUGCAUGGUUGUCGUCAGCUCGUGCCGUGAGGUGUCGGCUUAAGUGCCAUAACGAGCGCAACCCUUAUCUUUAGUUACUAACAGGUCAUGCUGAGGACUCUAGAGAGACUGCCGUCGUAAGAUGUGAGGAAGGUGGGGAUGACGUCAAAUCAGCACGGCCCUUACGUCCGGGGCUACACACGUGUUACAAUGGGGGGUACAGAAGGCGGCUACCUGGUGACAGGAUGCUAAUCCCAAAAACCUCUCUCAGUUCGGAUCGAAGUCUGCAACCCGACUUCGUGAAGCUGGAUUCGCUAGUAAUCGCGCAUCAGCCAUGGCGCGGUGAAUACGUUCCCGGGCCUUGUACACACCGCCCGUCAAGCCAUGAAAGCCGGGGGUACCUGAAGUACGUAACCGCAAGGAGCGUCCUAGGGUAAAACUGGUAAUUGGGGCUAAG
rnacentral:rRNA from 1 species